rnacentral:rRNA from 1 species
AUGCCCAAUGGCCAGAGAUGGCUCGCGCUGCUGCUCUGCGCGUUGAUGGUCUCCCCGCCCGGUGCCAGGUUGGCCCAGCUCGGCGUGCCCCUGUGGCCGUGUUCCUAUUCUGCAACACUACCAGCAAAAGGAGCAAGCCGGGGCGUUCAACAAUUGUUCAAUCUUGUACUUCAUCCCCUCUCCAUGCUUCGACCCGCCAAAUCCCAUCAGGAAACUUUUUUUCAACGUGGACAGUGCUUUCAACCCCUAUGUCAUUCCCUCCCAAUGAUUCAUUUGAUCAUGCCGUGCAUGAAUGCCUGUUAA